rnacentral:lncRNA from 1 species
CAAUUUAAAUGCUCUCAUCAAACUGCACCUCUGUUCCUCGAUCAACCGUUGGCUGUAUAUGAAGUCUGUGAGACAUCAGGCAAUUUUUGUUUUCGCGGAACGUCGCGUGCUAUUCGCUAGCAGUUGAAGAACUUGACUUGUUCUCUUGGAUUCUUUUGUUAUCAAACAAUGUUCGAUGUGCUAAGUGUAUAAAUCACUCGAAACCCCAGCACGUAGGAAAUUUGUCGUCUUAUUGAUCCGACCACGAUGGUUUGCAAGCUGACUUCUUUGUUCCUUACGAUAUUAUCUGCUCGACUGAUACUCGCCCUAAAAAAUAAAGACAAUCUCUAUUACUGCCGAGGCAUAUCUGAGGACAAAGACACCUGCAUUUAUCCCAAGAUGUGCAGGUGUCCCAUGAUGAAUGCCGGAGGAUACAUAAGGUUGACUCUGUGGCACUACGACAACCACACCGGCCGGUGCCGUAAAAUCGUGGGAAGCAACGCAGAGGGAUAUUGCAACAUGUUUGAAAAGAAAGACGAUUGUCGAAAGUUCUGCAAGAAGCCCUUGAAAGAACAGCGUCCCAAACCGAAGAAGUAAAACAAUAACGCUGGCAGAAAGAAUGCUCCCGCGUUCAAUUCCGAACAUAAUUUCCACACGGCUCAUUCAACAAAACAACAAUGCAAUUACAUUUUUCGACCCGUAUAAAUUGUAUUCCAGCUUGCGUAAAAGCGAUAUUUGGCCGCUGGGCACAGCGCUCAAAGCCGACAUGGAUGAUCAAUUUACACGUUGCUUCUUGGUCAUUCAUUGUGCCUAUGCUAUAAACGAUUUCGACAGAUAUGACAUGGCUAUCGGUGUACCAAUAGCCGUGAUGUGAUGACCUUCAUUCACCGCCUCAACAAAACCUGAAAAAUCGGCGCCAUGCUUGAGAGAAGAUUGUGGACGAAUCAUCUACUGUGGGUGCUUUAGGAAUCGGACGCAGCAUGCGCACAUACGUGACCCCAGUCGUACAGACGAACUUCCUUCUGACAAUGUAAUAACGUGUCUAGCUCUGACGAACGCAUGUAACUUGGUCAACGAACAGAAUACGAAGCACAAAACCUUGUUUGUUGGCAUAAACAGUGACUUGUUAUGCAGUUCUUACACCAAUAAAUGAUUGACACAAAGCACGUCAGAAAGGUUAAUAUUUACAGCUUAUUACAUAAAGCUAUGGUUCGCUUUAGAAAUUACACAAGAAGCUCAUCAUUUCGAGUAUAUCUGAGUUCACUAA